UACGGAGGGUGCGAGCGUUGUCCGGAAUCAUUGGGCGUAAAGGGCGCGUAGGUGGCCCGGUCAGUCCGUGGUGAAAGCGCGGGGCUCAACCCCGCGUCGGCCAUAGAUACUGCUGGGCUGGAGCACUGUAGAGGCAGGCGGAAUUCCGGGUGUAGCGGUGGAAUGCGUAGAGAUCCGGAAGAACACCGGUGGCGAAGGCGGCCUGCUGGGCAGUUGCUGACACUGAGGCGCGACAGCGUGGGGAGCAAACAGG
rnacentral:rRNA from 1 species